rnacentral:tRNA from 1 species
GGGGGCGUGCCGAAACGGUAGCCGGAAGAGACUUAAAAUCUCUCGGGGGCUUCCCCCGUGCGGGUUCGAAUCCCGCCGCCCCUA